AGCGAACGCUGGCGGCAGGCCUAACACAUGCAAGUCGAACGAAGCCUUCGGGCUUAGUGGCGGACGGGUGAGUAACACGUGGGAACGUACCUUUUGGUUCGGAAUAACGCAGAGAAAUUUGCGCUAAUACCGGAUGAGCCCUUCGGGGGAAAGAUUUAUCGCCGAAAGAUCGGCCCGCGUUUGAUUAGGUAGUUGGUGUGGUAAAGGCGCACCAAGCCUACGAUCCAUACCUGGUCUGAGAGGAUGAUCAGCCACACUGGGACUGAGACACGGCCCAGACUCCUGCGGGAGGCAGCAGUGGGGAAUCUUGCGCAAUGGGCGAAAGCCUGACGCAGCCAUGCCGCGUGAAUGAUGUAGGUCUUAGGAUUGUAAAAUUCUUUUACCAGGGACGAUAAUGACGGUACCUGGAGAAAAAGCCCCGGCUAACUUCGUGCCAGCAGCCGCCGUAAUAC
rnacentral:rRNA from 1 species